UACGUAGGGGGCUAGCGUUGUCCGGAAUCAUUGGGCGUAAAGCGCGCGUAGGCGGCCCGGUAAGUCCGCUGUGAAAGUCAAAGGCUCAACCUUUGAAUGUCAGCGGAUACUGCCGGGCUAGAGUCCGGAAGAGGCGAGUGGAACUCCUGGUGUAGCGGUGGAAUGCGCAGAUAUCGGGAGGAACACCGGUGGCGAAGGCGGUUCUCUGGGCCUUACCUGACGCUGAGGAGCGAAAGCGUGGGGAGCGAACAGG
rnacentral:rRNA from 1 species